rnacentral:lncRNA from 1 species
CCAAACAGUGGAAGUGGAUACAACAAGUGGUAUCGAGACGUUCGGUCUCGACCAGCUCUUCCGCACCAAUCUCGAUUGUUAGUAAAGGUCAUAGGCUUACAGUGUUGGAGCGCUCGCGGCGGCUCUUCAGGGUAAGUGAAAGAUCGUAAUCAUCUGUAUUGUUUUGUCCUUGGUUGCCUUGCUCAUUGUUGUUGCAGAGGUUAGAACGGGUGUGCUGAACCCGACUGAGGUAGAGCCGCUACUUCAAGCUCUCCCCCUAUCCGCGGCAGUGACUGCGUCAUUGCUGUAUAAGGGUAGGCCCUUCUCAGUUAGCUAAAAUGUUUAGCCCCGCCCCGUUUAAUUUGGGCAGCGACCGUAAUGGCGUAGACAUGGCGUCGGGCGCACCUGAUGCUCGUUCCACUUUGCCUGCCUACGCUGUUGCGGGACUUGUUUCCGACCCCGGUGCACCUAGUACUUCUAGAGGUCCGGGCGGCCCUAUUGAGGUCCCUGUUGCUGUUCGCGAACCUGAUGCGCGAACGCCAUUCUCAACUUUUGCCGCAGCACCUUUGUUGCAUAUGCCCACUGGGGCUGCCGAGAAUGUUCGUUUAAGGCCACUUGGUCCUACUGGUGACGAACGUCUCCACUCCUUGCCUUCUUUGGCCCCUUUUGCUCUGCGCAACCCGCCUAAUGCUCCCAUGAAUCGUCCGGAUGUUCCAACGGUGAUACCAGAAACCCCGACGACAGAUGCGGACCACCGUGCUGCGGCUGCGCGUGCGUUAGCGGUGGAAGCGGCUGCUGCUGCUGGGGCUGCGGUUGCGGCGGCAGCCGCNNNNNNNNNNNNNNNNNNNNNNNNNNNNNNNNNNNNNNNNNNNNNNNNNNCCCCAGACCCCCCCCAGACCCCCCCCUCAAAGGCUGUACGGUGUGCUGUAAACAACACUCGCAAAGCUCGUGGCUUUUUAGUGUGGCCUGCCUGGCAUCCAUCGUGAUGUCCCGCUGCCGGCUGAGGGAGCAGGGACCGCACCGGACACGGUCGUGCACCUCGCCAGCCUCCAUAUCCGGCGCAACACACUCAGCCCAUUCGAACAAAGCUGUCCAGUGCGCCUGGAAGCGACGCACUCCCUCAUUCUCCCGCCAGCUCCCAUCGCUUUGGCCUUUCGGCACACGCUGUGUUUGCUGGCGCCGCACCUGCUUUUGAAUCACCAGCGGUGCGUGCUGCGAAGCACCAGCCCUUGAAGGUGGCGGUGGUGCCGUGGCGACAUCUUGGGGCGGUGGCCCUUCCUCGUCAGAAUCAAGCUGCUCAGCUGAGUCGCUGAUUGCUACAGUUGUGUGUUGCCGCUUCGCCGGGGGAUCCUCAGCUUCGCUCAAAUCGCUGGCUUCACUGACUUCAAGAGCGGCAACUACGGCAUGCCUAUCCUUGUCUUCUGUAUUAUCUAAUUCUUCUUCUAAAUGUUUGGGGCAUUGCAUCUGCGGACUUUCUGAGCCGUUUGCUUUGGUCAAGAAUGAACGAAUGCCCCGUUGACCUAGGUUGAAUGCAACAGCGGGCCGUCUCAUGGUGAUAUCAUCAAAUAUUUUAUACAUAGAUAGUGCAUAAGCUCCAAAUGUUCAGCUUUAUAUGUGCAGAAGGCGUUUGGGGCGACUUAUGGCCGAAGUAAUGAACCAGUACGGCCAACUGACCAAUUAUUCCAUUUCUUCCAGGCUCAGACCCCCAUUUAUUCCCAAAAAAGUAAUAUAUUACCAAAAAAAUAAACACUGCAUGUACCUGCUCAUAUAUAUUUAUGACAUGCGGAACAUGACCAGGUCAUAUUGCGCAUGGUAUUCCAUGAUGCAGCAAUGCAAGCCAUGACCACCCUGGCCCAUGUUUUGCAUGCAUUCCAUGAGUCGUAUACUGCACUCCAUGACCACCCUGGCCCAUGUUUUGCAUGCAUUCUAUGAGUCGUAUACUGCACUCCAUGACCACCCUGGCCCAUGUUUUGCAUGCAUUCCUCGUUUUCCAUGCUUGGUCGUCCACUCAUACAAGCACCAGGUGUGCAUCCAGGACUACACCUGGUAGUCCGUGUAGGGUAUUGCAAGACCGUAGCACAUAUAGCGGCGGACAAUCCUCGGAGGAUCAGCACAUAAAGGUGGGCAUUCCUUGCUUCGUAGAUCAGCAGCAGGUGCCGGGCAAAGCUUCUUCGUCAUUGAUCACCCGCUUAUCUAAAAUGUGUAAGAGGGAUCAGCUCCCCUGUCAUCUCCCAACCGAGUACUCUUUGCCUGGUGUUACAUUGGUGCGAUUUGCUAGGAGGUGGGUACUCCCCGGAUCGACCCCGGUUGCGAACAUAUUGCACACCAGGCACGAUGCAGCAUACUCUUCCCCAAAGGUGGAUGCCCGGGUGGGCGAAAAGUACAUCAGCUGAGUAAAUAACAAAAGUCCUCCAUCUCGGACGGGGACUGACGAAAUGUUAAUAACACUCAAACUCACAAUCCUACGGGAUCUCAAACAACCAAAAUCCUACGGGAUAUGCCCGGGGGCGCCUGAGGACGUUCGCUCGAGGGGGGGAGGAAUGUAAGAGGGAUCAGCUCCCCUGGCAUCUCCCAACCGAGUACUCUUUGCCUGGUGUUACAAAAUGUGCCUUUACAAUAAAACAACCAAUUUACUUUCAUAAGACAAAUGACCACCACCACCUGCGCACCUGCAUCCCCCUGGUACUGUCGAAACAGUUAGCUCACCCUGCAUGUUAAUGCGUGUAAUUGCGUAUGGUGAGAUAUUGCAUCAGCAGCAGCGCAACAAAGGAAACACAAUAUAAUUAGGGAAUCUUGUGAGUCAAGCUGUAGCAAAGGCGUUAUUAGGAAUGGUUUAGGUACAAUAGGUAGGAAUAAUGCUCCGGCACUAGUGUACUCUUGUCUGCUUGGAAGGACUCCUUCUGCCUAAUCAAAGUGAUGAUCGCCGCCGCUGGGAUUAAGUAUCUACAGCAUCGCAUACAUGGCAUGCGUGCUCUUAAAUAGUACAACAAUGCACAGCACGGAGCAGGCCAAUAUUGCAGGAUGCUGCUGUCUAUUGAACAUGUAUGUACGGCGGCUCAAUGGUGUCCAUACGGAGGUGGGUAUGUACAGCAGCGGGGCAGCAAAACGAUGGAUUCGUGGAACUGAAAUCAUAAGUACGUGCACGGCAUUGCGCCACACAUGCUAUUACAGGAUGGUAGGCAGAUGUGCAUGCUUACAUGCAUCAUGCACACGCGUACGCACCACAGCACAUGCAUGGCAGCACAUCUGGAAAUGCAGGCAAGCGUGUGUGCACGCAAGUUUCUAUUAUUUUACUUCAAUAACACGAGAGAUAUUGCAAAAACUCACAGGAGCGGUAUUGGCGAGGUUCGUGUUGAUGGAGCAGCUGAUGGAUGCCCCUUGGGAACUGAUGGCCGACACUAAGAUGUAGGUGUAGGUCUGUCAUCAACCAUGCGUACAUUUGGAUCCAGGACAGACGCCCAUGUAGUAAGUGUGACCUCAAAUCUAGCGCGCUGCCUUCACUACUCCUUCUGCCCAAUCUCAUGCUGCAGUCCGGAUCUGCUUGCCCUUUGUUUUGUAUGUACUUGCUUCCCACCCCCAUUACUACUUCUAAAGCUGAUUGACAUUUCCGAUUUACUUUCACUUUGUAUGUAAUAACUAUGCACAACAACCAUUAAGGGGGUGUUUCCACUUGGAUUAAAAGUCGCGGAUUAAGGCUUAAUCCGUCGCAUAUGGAAACAUCGCGCAGAUUAGGGCGAUUAGGCGGAUUAAGGUUGGCGCGAUUAGUUAGAGAUUUCCGCCCGUAUUCGUAUGUAGCUCCCCACCCCCUUUAUGGUACAUCCCAGACAGAUACCGCCUGUACAUGUAAAUGCUUCCCCGCCCUUGUUGUUGUCCUUACCCCUGAACUCGUUGCUUUUGCAAUGAGCAUGAUGGCCGGCGCCUGGGUGACGAUUGACGAAUUCACGCCGGGGACAUAGUUCACGGCAAAGCGAAAAUCAUCCAACGCGGAAGCAUAUGCUCCACCAACAAGGCCGCUGAGGCGGCAACAGGAGGAUGCAUAAAUCUCUCCAGCGCGUGCGGGAUUCACAAUUGAGCGGACCGUCCUGCAGCAUAUAGCAACAAAGCAUGUAUGUGAGAGAUGCUGCACUGCAACUGUUCUGCACACCGCGAUGCACUGCUGUACUGCUACAGAUCCCCACAGAACCCCUAGGGCUACGGACCCCGCACGAGAGGGUAGCAUAGGUUCAGAAGUUCAUUUGGCCAUCCGCAUUUAGCCAUCUAUCUUGCCAUGGCCAGGCAGGCUAGCCAUGGCCAGGCAGGCUAUGUUGUGGCACACUUGCAUAUUAACCCUCGGAUCUUUCCCCAAUUCUCUGGUACUUUGCCGCUGGGCAAUAUCUUCGCUCUUACUUGGUUAACCAUUGGGCACUUGCCUAUCUUUAAUUGGGCGCUGGCCCACCUUUAUUUAAGCGGGCACUUGCCUGUCUUUAUCACGCGUAAUACUGGAUUAUAGCGCUCUUGCUAUAAUCGUGACACUUGUCACUGGUAGACCCACUUGGGUUACGAUUGCACCGAUUGGUGAUAAUUCGCGUUGACGACUAUAUCUUCGGACCGUACAGACUUCUGUACGGGUCGUCCUAACGCAGAGGCAUUUAGCCUCUUCUCAUUCACUAAUCGGUAGUUUUCACUACCACCCAAACAGUGGAAGUGGAUACAACAAGUGGUAUCGAGACGUUCGGUCUCGACCAGCUCUUCCGCACCAAUCUCGAUUGUUAGUAAAGGUCAUAGGCUUACAGUGUUGGAGCGCUCGCGGCGGCUCUUCAGGGUAAGUGAAAGAUCGUAAUCAUCUGUAUUGUUUUGUCCUUGGUUGCCUUGCUCAUUGUUGUUGCAGAGGUUAGAACGGGUGUGCUGAACCCGACUGAGGUAGAGCCGCUACUUCAAGCUCUCCCCCUAUCCGCGGCAGUGACUGCGUCAUUGCUGUAUAAGGGUAGGCCCUUCUCAGUUAGCUAAAAUGUUUAGCCCCGCCCCGUUUAAUUUGGGCAGCGACCGUAAUGGCGUAGACAUGGCGUCGGGCGCACCUGAUGCUCGUUCCACUUUGCCUGCCUACGCUGUUGCGGGACUUGUUUCCGACCCCGGUGCACCUAGUACUUCUAGAGGUCCGGGCGGCCCUAUUGAGGUCCCUGUUGCUGUUCGCGAACCUGAUGCGCGAACGCCAUUCUCAACUUUUGCCGCAGCACCUUUGUUGCAUAUGCCCACUGGGGCUGCCGAGAAUGUUCGUUUAAGGCCACUUGGUCCUACUGGUGACGAACGUCUCCACUCCUUGCCUUCUUUGGCCCCUUUUGCUCUGCGCAACCCGCCUAAUGCUCCCAUGAAUCGUCCGGAUGUUCCAACGGUGAUACCAGAAACCCCGACGACAGAUGCGGACCACCGUGCUGCGGCUGCGCGUGCGUUAGCGGUGGAAGCGGCUGCUGCUGCUGGGGCUGCGGUUGCGGCGGCAGCCGCAGAGCCUUUGCCUUCGGUUCGGCCGAUUUCUUCUGCCGACCUCCCUUGGGUUAGUUUACUGACUCCUGUUUUGCAGCUAGAUGCCAAGCUUGAUGCGAAGCAGACUGCUGCCCGCGUCAAGGCGUUUAUCCGCGACGCGUCUUUGUUUUUCGAAAUCGUGCCCUGGGGUAGGGACCAUCGGUCAUGCUGCCUGUUUUUGUCGCAAGGGCUCCGUGGCGCUGCAAAAACGUGGUAUGACGAGUGGUCUCUAUCGCAGCGCGAGCUUACUGCUCAGCUUGUUCUGGAUAACCUGCGCACGCGUUUUGCUCCUCAGGUUAUCUCUGUAGAACAAGAAGCACGACAUAGGCUUUCUGACAAAUCUUUUGUGAUGCGCGCUGGUGAAAAUGUACCAGCUUACCUAUCGCGUCUUGAGGCCGUUUUCCAAGACAUACCCACGAUCACUCCUAGUGAGCGUAUGUUUUGGUUUUUCGAAGGCCUUUCUUCUUCCCUGCAGCCCCAUUGCGCCACAGACGUCUAUGGAAAGCCGUUUCCCUCUUAUGACGCCCUGGUACAGCAUGCCUUGGGCCAGGAAGUGCGCGCCCUGUCUGAACGAAAAGUCCGUUCUGCUCUUCGUUCGAACCCUGUUGUUUUGCAGGAUUAUGACGAAGAUGGGCCUCCAGUCAAGCGGGCGCGCGUGGACCCCGGUCCUCGUCUCGCCGCAGCUGUUGCUGGGGCCCCUAGGCAGACGGGACACGGAAGCGGUCCUGGGCGUAAUAGUCAUGGGGGUAGAACAGGUUCGCGUGGCGGGCGCGGGGAUAGGGGUCGCGGCACUGGCCGUCCCAGUGCACCCGCUGGCGGAGAAUCCGCCACUCCGUUGGCGAAAGCUUGCGAGUUGACCAAGUGGGUCAACCAGUUCGGCCGUAGGUUGACGCACGGGGAGGUGGGAAUUCUCUGACAGCGUGCGGGCGGCAACGCCAUCUGUUUUUGCUGUGAGGUGGUUAGUCCCGACCACCUCUACGACGACUGUCCCGCAUUCAAAAGGUUGCGUGAAGCGGGGCUGUGCUAGGAAUUUGCUCAGGGCGGUAUUGAGGGAUAUUACCCUGAGCUUCCUUUGCGGGGAUUCGUUCUUUGGUCCGCGCGGUUAGACCCGCUGCGUUGGCAGAGUUUGAGAGUGCCGUUGGACGCCGUUUUUCUUUUGACGCUGUUGCUGUCAAACCGGGCUUUGACUCGGAAUGUAACAUAACGGUUCC